rnacentral:rRNA from 1 species
UAACACAUGCAAGUCGAGCGGUAGCACAGAGAGCUUGCUCUCGGGUGACGAGCGGCGGACGGGUGAGUAAUGUCUGGGAAACUGCCUGAUGGAGGGGGAUAACUACUGGAAACGGUAGCUAAUACCGCAUAACGUCGCAAGACCAAAGUGGGGGACCUUCGGGCCUCAUGCCAUCAGAUGUGCCCAGAUGGGAUUAGCUAGUAGGUGGGGUAAUGGCUCACCUAGGCGACGAUCCCUAGCUGGUCUGAGAGGAUGACCAGCCACACUGGAACUGAGACACGGUCCAGACUCCUACGGGAGGCAGCAGUGGGGAAUAUUGCACAAUGGGCGCAAGCCUGAUGCAGCCAUGCCGCGUGUAUGAAGAAGGCCUUCGGGUUGUAAAGUACUUUCAGCGAGGAGGAAGGCAUUAAGGUUAAUAACCUUAGUGAUUGACGUUACUCGCAGAAGAAGCACCGGCUAACUCCGUGCCAGCAGCCGCGGUAAUACGGAGGGUGCAAGCGUUAAUCGGAAUUACUGGGCGU